rnacentral:rRNA from 1 species
ACGAGAGGGCGCGCUCCCGUCGCCGGCGUGAUCGGUGCGCGGGCGGGAGGCGCGGCCUUCUUUCAUUUUGUAAUCCMAAACGACUCUCGGCAACGGAUAUCUCGGCUCUCGCAUCGAUGAAGAACGUAGCGAAAUGCGAUACUUGGUGUGAAUUGCAGAAUCCCGUGAACCAUCGAGUCUUUGAACGCAAGUUGCGCCCCAAGCCGUUAGGCCGAGGGCACGUCUGCCUGGGUGUCACGCAUCGUUGCCCCCAACCGAAAUUUCCCCCCACCGUCGGGGGACGAAUGGGCGGGGCGGAAACUGGCCUCCCGUGAGCUCCACGCUCGCGGUUGGCCCAAAUCUGAGUCUUCGGCGACCGCGCCGCGACGAUCGGUGGUGAACGAGCCUCUCGAGUUCCCGUCGCGCGCGCGUGCCUCCGUGCUGUUGGCUCUCGGAACCCUCGAGCGCUGCUCGCUCUGCGACCCCAGGUCAGGCGGGACUACCCGCUGAGUUUAAGCAUAUCAAUAAGCGGAGGAAAAGANACUUA